AGUAUUGCAUUUAGCCAUGUUUAUGGCUAAUACCUCCUGGUACUAUUUAAAUGCCUUUUGAUGGCUAGAAAACACUAGCUGUCUGAGAGACGCUGCUGUCACAUGCAUGUGAAGGCUCUACAUACUCAUGUGGCAGACGGAGUAAACAGGAACAUAAGAACAGUUUUGCUGUUUGUCCUUUGUUAAUGUUUUCUAAGGUCUGAAAACCAUUGUCAUGAACAUGCAUGCACAGACACCCAACCAUCCACUGUUUUUGCCUCCAAAUAUUUUCCGUUUUAACUCUUAGUAGGGCGUGCUUGUCUUGCUCAGGUGUGAUGACUGAGAAGCAGAAGCUCUCCCCGUUGGGCUGCUCCGGGUGCACACUGCGUAUGCUGCAUUAUGACACACUGCAGAUGUGAUCACGUGGGCUGCAUGAAGCUACUCUGCUGCCUUGGCUGCGCUGAGAGACUCAGAUGACAGUAACAUACAACUCAAGAGAUCGGGAAUCAAAUCCCACUACUGCCAUGAAUUCAUCAUGUGAAGUGGGAAAAUCAUGGUAUCUUUAUGCCUCUGUUUUCCACCUUCUAAGUGUGGCUAAUACUGCAUUCUCUA